CCCUCCAAUUCGCCUGAAUGCCACAAACUUCCAAACAUUGAUUCUAAGUGGUUCUUCUGGGGAAUGAUCACUCUUGCUCAGGUCUUCUCCAUUAUUCGAACAAUGACGUACCAGAGAACCAGAACAGAAGCUCUGUGAGCAUGGGGGCCUUUCCACUGUGCUCAUUGCUAUAUACCCAGUACCCGAGUGUUUGCUGAGAUGAAGGAGGAGGAAGAGAAGGCACAACGGGAGAAGAUGCUGCUGCUUUAGCUAAUUCUAGGAAAUCCUGGUGCCGAAUAAAACGACCCCGGCAAAAGCAUAACACAAGAGCAAUAAGAACAUCCCUACGAUGAUGAAGAAGCUCUUAU